GGUUGGUCUGGUGGUAGUGGAUUAUCAGAACUUAUUAACAUCAGAGUCACUAAAGUUGGUAUAUAAUCCCCUACCACUAAAUUUGACUGGCUAAAA
rnacentral:Y_RNA from 1 species